rnacentral:rRNA from 2 species
UUUCGCAAUGCCCGAAAGGGUGACGAAGCGACGCCGCGUGUGGGAAGAAGGCCUUCGGGUUGUAAACCACUGUCGGGAGUUAAGAAGUGCAGGGGUGUUAAGAGCAUCCUUGCUUGACGUUAGCUCCGGAGGAAGCCACGGCUAACUCUGUGCCAGCAGCCGCGGUAAUACAGAGGUGGCAAGCGUUGUUCGGAAUUAUUGGGCGUAAAGAGCACGUAGGCGGCCCUGCAAGUCAGCUGUGAAAUCCUUCUGCUCAACGGAAGAACGGCAGUUGAUACUACAGGGCUGGAGUGCGGGAGGGGAGAGUGGAACUUCUGGUGGAGCGGUGAAAUGCGUAGAUAUCAGAAGGAACAUCGGCGGCGAAAGCGACUCUCUGGCCCGUAACUGACGCUGAGGUGCGAAAGCUAGGGGAGCAAACGGGAUUAGAUACCCCGGUAGUCCUAGCCGUAAACGAUGGGCACUAAGUAGAGGGGUUUU